rnacentral:tRNA from 1 species
GGGCCCGUAGCUCAGCUAGGUAGAGCAUCUGGCUUUUAACCAGGUGGUCCGGGGUUCGAAUGGUACGCGGUAGUUCCGUGUAUGCGGAAAUCCCCGCGGGCCCG